UAAGGAAUAUUGGUCAAUGGGCGAAAGCCUGAACCAGCCAUCCAGCGUGCAGGAAGAAGGCCCUACGGGUUGUAAACUGCUUUUGUCAGGGAAGAAACCCUUGGAUUCACUCCGAGGCUGACGGUACCUGAAGAAUAAGCACCGGCUAACUCCGUGCCAGCAGCCGCGGUAAUACGGAGGGUGCGAGCGUUAUCCGGAAUUACUGGGUUUAAAGGGUGCGUAGGCGGCUUGGUAAGUCAGGAGUGAAAGUUUGCGGCUCAACCGUAAAAUUGCUUUUGAUACUGCCGGGCUAGAAUCAGGAUGAGGUCAGCGGAAUGUGGCAUGUAGCGGUGAAAUGCAUAGAUAUGCCAUAGAACACCUAUUGCGAAGGCAGCUGGCUAGACCUGUAUUGACGCUGAGGCACGAAAGCGUGGGGAGCGAACAGGAUUAGAUACCCUGGUAGUCCACGCCCUAAACGAUGCUUACUCGACGUAUGACCCUUGA
rnacentral:rRNA from 1 species